UACAGGGGGUGCAAACGUUGCUCGGAAUUAUUGGGCGUAAAGCGCACGUAGGCGGUUUGUUAUGUCGGGCGUGAAAUCCCUAGGCUCAACCUAGGAACUGCACUCGAAACUACCAUCCUUGAGUGUCGGAGAGGAAAGCGGAAUUCCUGGUGUAGAGGUGAAAUUCGUAGAUAUCAGGAGGAACACCAGUGGCGAAGGCGGCUCACUGGCCCGGUACUGACGCUGAGGCACGAAAGCGUGGGGAGCAAACAGG
rnacentral:rRNA from 1 species